UAUGGCCCAAAAUUUUAAAAAGGACUACGAAAAAUCGAAUAAGAAAAGAGAACAUAUAGUACUAUUAUCUGUACAUUGUUUGCUCCUCUCAUAGUGUGAAACUGUUUGUUUUCUCUGUGCGAUUAUGCGGAUUUCUCUACUCAGAGCUUCUUUGCUGUUUCAAGCAUAUUUUCUCAUCUUUUGUUGUUUGAAAAUAGCUUCUUUGCUAUUUUGUAUUCAAUAUGAGGUAUUGUAUCCACCGAUGAUGAAAGAAUUAAUCAAUUUCAAAUUUAGAAUCUUUAGUUUCUCCGUGAACUCCUAUCCUACAUGUAUUCUCGAACGUUUUGUCUCACUUGAUUGUUCAGAUCCAAGGUAAGAUCUUUCUUUCCUCAUCCUUGAUUUGUUUCGAUCAACUGCGAUUUGGGGCUGAUUUCUUGCUAUGUUGCUUUAUGUAUAUCUUUUAUGAGUUUUUUUUGUAUUUUUUGUGUUCACUGAUUUAAGGUAUCAGCGGUGACCUUUUUUUUCUGAUUAAAGCAAAGUUGUAUGCUUUUUGCUCAGAAAAAACUGGAUUUUUUUUGUGUUAAUCUUAGUUCAUAGCCUUACUUUUCGUCCAUAACUUAUCAAGUUCUAUACAUUUAGAUGCUUCUUUUAGUACAUGGAUAGAUCAAUAAUUAAUUGGCAUGAUUGUGAAACUGCUUUAUAGGCGCAUUAUUCUCAGCGUGGUUCUGAUGCAAGAAGGAUUGGCACACAUACUUCUUAUUGAUAAAGUUUACCAAUUAACCCCUCUUCUCCUUCUAGUGAUUUUUUGACAGAAGUAGGCAAGAUAUAAUGCAACAAGCAUAGAAAUUCAUGCUCAUUGUGAUAGAAAAUCCUUUCUAAUUAAUAAUAUUUUUCUUGACAGACGUGUAAAAGAAAAACACGACAUAUAAUUAGAGACAACGGAAGUAUAAAUUCCCUCCACUUCAAAAUAGUUGGCAUUUUACUAAAAUAUUUGUCAGUUUAAAAUGAUCAAAAGAGCACUAAUCAUGCUUUUUUCCAACUUUCCACUUAACGGUAAUUAUUCUGGAAUUAAUAGGGCAUGUAAAUAGAUAAAUACAAAUAAAACUGGUUCAAAGUUGUGCUCCCCAUACUCUACAGGCGUGUAGUGGUCUAUCUUUCUAAAUGAAACCCUCCUAAUUAAACACCCUGACAAGAGCCUCCAUACUCUACAAACAUAUGUAUCAAAUCAGUAGAAGCAUUCAAUGUGACCCCCAUGAGCUGUUAUUAGAAAAUUGACCUUUUGUCAACAAUUGUCUUAGUGCUGUUUCAAUUUAUAUUAAUGUGCCUGUUACCUAAAAAAGAAAUUCAUGCUUCACAGUGUUUAACCUUCAGUAUCUUCUGGCUAGUAGGUAUGACCAGUUUCGUUACAGCUUCUAGAUUCAGACACCUAAACAACUCUGUCUGUACUAUGCAACCCCAUUAAGCUUUGGAAUAUGAUAAAGGAUUCAAGACUUAUUUUAAACAUUUAAGUGUGCACAUUUCGUCAGCGAAUGUUUCCAUUGUUGUCAAGGCUCCCCGUUAGGCAAAAACUGCAGCAUAAUAAACUCGUGAUUAAUCUUUUACUAUAAGCUGAAAGGGGGCAAGAUACGAAUAGGAUGACUUGAUUGUUGCUAGAAAAUAAGGAAGGUCCAAAGGACAUUUGGCAGUCGGCCUCCUAUUUAAAGAAAAAAAAACAGUUAGUUUUGGAUGGUACCCUGUCCUUGCAAAUAUCAACACUAAAUAAGGAGUUUAGGAUGUAACAUCAACGCAAGCUUUUAAAGAUGGAAAAGUGGAUACGUAACUAUACCUCCUCUAUCCUUUUGUAUGCAGGAUUCAACAACUUUGAGUGUCAAGGGAAGAUGUUGUACUAAAGCAGGUAAGAGACCGCUCUCCAAGUACACAACCAAAGAAGUUGGAUCGAAAAGCAGUCUUCUCAAGUGACGUUCUGCUAAGAUGCAGUCAACUGCAAAGAUAUCUUUAGCAAUAUCUUCAGAAUAAAUGUGUGAAUGAUGACAUUUCUGCUUCCAAAGCAAUAGUGCUUGAUAUCCGCAGAUACAUCAUCACCCACUUCAAUAUUCUUGAAAAGGUUGUAGAUAGAAAAUAAAUGAGGUGCAUGCUCAGAAAACACAGCUGCUUUUUCCAAUUCAUGCAAGAAUGAAGUUCAAAAGCCGGAACUUUCUCAGUCACAUCACUUAUUGGGAGCUGAAUCAUUUCUGCUUCACUGAUCUUGUCACAAAUUUCCAAGGUGGCAAGCUGCCUAGGAGGAUGUGGUUUAGUAAAAAUUUGACGGUGUCCCUUUUUCCAAUACUCAAAAUCGACUUUCUCCACUUGAAUUCAAUAACGAGUAAGCACUAAUGCCCGGAUUAUUGAAAGGUCAGAAAGCAUGAGCAGGGGAUCAUUUUUAUUGCAGCAUUUGCUCUGUUGAAUUUCUUUAUCCUGGACUAAGUUUUAUUUUCUCCCUAACUUGAGUUACUCCAUCAUUCUGAUAAUGUUAUAUCCCUCAUCGCUAUGUUGUGAUUCAUAUCAUGCGGAGUUAUUGUGAUCUCUUUUCGAUUUGGUUAUCUAAUUUAGUCUUUUUUUCUUUCAAUUUAUCACUUAUAAAAUAAAAAUUAUCUAUAUAUUUAGUUCAUUGUAAUAUAUAUGUUGAUGGUGGGUGUAAAUUAUUUUUUCUCAUUCGAUGCCCAAUAGCAUAUUGGACACGAUUAAACCGUUUUCUAACAAAGGCAAUUUCAUAUCUAGACUCAAACUUCAGUGUCAUUUUGUACAUAGUACAUAAUCUGUCUUAUUUUUUAAGAUUAUAAAUCUGACAUUUUUGGAGGUUUACACGUAGAUAUUCUUGUUUUUAAUGAUAUGAUAGUGUAAUUUUUUAUACUAAUGGUAUACAUAAACUCAUAAAUUCAAACAUAGGCUGCUUUCUUUUUUCUUUCUCCUUUUUUUGGUUUCUACUUGUUAAUAAAUAUUAUACUUACAUGUUGGAUGCUUUAAUCAAACAUUGACAGGUGGAGGGUGAUGCUAUAUCGCUAGUGUUCUAGGAUUUAUUCUUGCUCUUGGUAUGCAAUUUUUCAUUGAGAGCCCUCACUGGCUAUUCAAGCUAUUGGUUGGAAUGUCGUAAUGAAAGUUGCAGUUGGUACAUGAAAGGUUCUUGCUUGUUGGAUUCUAAUCUUUUUCAAAUUCGGAAAUUCAAUGAUGAACAUACGUGCUCAAUGAGUGAUAGGGUGUUAAAACAGUUGCAGGCUUCAGUUAACUUUGUUAGUAAUUUUACAAAGCUAAAGUUAAUAAACUACAAAAGGAUACACACUCCGGCAAAUAUUAUUGAAGAAAUGAAAGUUGUGUAUGGUGUUGACAUCAAUUAUAUGAAAGUUUGGCGUGCGAAGGAGCGUGUUAUAGAAAUGCUUAGGGGUGGAGCUGCUGAUGGAUAUAGACAAUUGUCGAAUUACAUCUACAUGCUAAAAUCCGUGUAUCCAGGAUCACAUAUCAGGAUACAUAAGGCUGUAGAUAAUAAAUUUAAAUAUUUGUUUAUAGCUUUACAGCCAAUGAUCCAUGGUUUCAAGCAUUGUAGACCAAUUGUUGUGGUAGACGGUGCUCAUUUGAGUGGACCGUACCAAGGGACUUUUCUUUCUGCUUGCACUCUUGAUGGUGCAAGUAUGACUAAUUAUGUUAACUAAUCUUCAAUUCUUGUUAUGAUACGUCGCGGAACAUAUAUAAUAUAUUAUGAUACAUAACUUUACAGUUUAUGAUA